rnacentral:lncRNA from 1 species
UGUAGCUUGAGAAUGGCGCAGAAGAGGGAUUUUACUUAACUCCAUGCUAUAUCAGUGUCCCGGGGAUCUACACUAGGAAAGCACUACAAACUGAGUGUCUGAAGCAAUGGAAAAAUACAGGUGAUGGACCAAUGAGAAGAGAGAAGAGGAAGAACAUGCUAGGCAGCUGUUUCUAGCUCCCCAGAGGCAGCAUUUGUUGGCUGUAGGAGUCCUG